rnacentral:rRNA from 1 species
CCUACGGGACGCAGCAGUGGGGAAUAUUGGGCAAUGGGCGCAAGCCUGACCCAGCAACGCCGCGUGAAGGAAGAAGGCCCUCGGGUUGUAAACUUCUUUUGUCAGGGACGAAGAAAGUGACGGUACCUGACUAAUAAGCCACGGCUAACUACGUUCCAGCAGCCGCGGUAAUACGUAGGUGGCAAGCGUUAUCCGGAUUUACUGGUUGUAAAGGGCGAGGAGGCGGGACUGCAAGUCAGAUGUGAAAUUCCAGGGCUUAACCCUGGAACUGCAUUUGAAACUGUAGUGCUUGAGUGAUGGAGAGGCAGGCGGAAUUCCGUGUGUAGCGGUGAAAUGCGUAGAUAUACGGAGGAACACCAGUGGCGAAGGCGGCCUGCUGGACAGUAACUGACGCUGAGGCGCGAAAGCGUGGGGAGCAAACAGGAUUAGAUAUCCUUGUAGUC